rnacentral:rRNA from 1 species
UAGGGAAUUUUCCGCAAUGGACGCAAGUCUGACGGAGCAACGCCGCGUGAGUGAAGAAGGAUUUCGGUUCGUAAAACUCUGUUGUUAGAGAAGAACAGCGCAUAGAGUAACUGUUAUGCGUGUGACGGUAUCUAACCAGAAAGGGACGGCUAACUACGUGCCAGCAGCCGCGGUAAUACGUAGGUCCCGAGCGUUGUCCGGAUUUAUUGGGCGUAAAGCGAGCGCAGGCGGUUAGAAAAGUCUGAAGUGAAAGGCAGUGGCUCAACCAUUGUAGGCUUUGGAAACUGUUUAACUUGAGUGCAGAAGGGGAGAGUGGAAUUCCAUGUGUAGCGGUGAAAUGCGUAGAUAUAUGGAGGAACACCAGUGGCGAAGGCGACUCUCUGGUCUGUAACUGACGCUGAGGUUCGAAAGCGUGGGUAGCAAACAGG